rnacentral:lncRNA from 1 species
AGCUGUUGUGUCCUGUGUGUUACAUCACAUCAGUGUGUGCUGAAAACAGAUGAACACAAUCACACUGUUCACAGAACAAACAAUAACCAAAGAGAGACAAACACAGAAAGUCUCACCUCAGCUGUGAGAUGUAGGGCAGACACUGGAGGAAUCCCUUCACUUCACUCUCUUCAUCUGUCCAGUCUCUCAGCUCUACUGGUUUCUUCUCUGUUUGGAGUUUCAGCACUUCUAGGAGGAUGGAGCUCUUUCUCUCUGAGAGCUUUAUGCUCCAGACUGCAGGAGCUGACUGAUAAAUUGGCUGUAAUGCUGGAAGGACACUCCUGCCUGUUUGAGUCUCAUAGUCCUUCACAUGUGAACACAGAUCCAGCAGAAAAUCACACUGUUCAAUCUGAAAUUCAAAAUCAUCUAAAUAACCCUCAUCAAAAGGGAAAGAUGUGUAGCUGCACACAGAUGUUAAUAGUUCAGUGUAAAUUUCUCCUUGAUUUGUAUCAAACUCUGAUGCUGAAACAUUCAGUUUCAGUAGAAACUUUACAGCAGGUUCUCUCUUCAAAUAAAACCUGUGGAGACACAAAUAAUUAUCACUUCAAUGUUCAGUAUGCAUUAUGAACAAAAAUACUGCAGGUGAUGAAUUAAAUCAUUUAAAUAUAAAAUAGCUACAUGUGAAAGCUGAUGAAAUGAUUUUAAAAGAUUCAGUGGCAGUUUGUAUUUUAGUUCUAGUUGUCGUCUGUGUAGAGUGCUGUGUUGUAAAUAUAAUCCUAAAGUGAAUAAAUAGUAAAGUGUAAAGUGUGAAAUCUAAACUUAUUAAAGUGAGUAAUUUAAAUCAUUUCCUUACAAUUCUAAUUUAAAAUACAUGUAACUGGCACAUAUUCAGUUGAUAUGAAGGUAAAUCCGGCUCAGACAGUUUCUGUUCUGUUCAGACAUUGUGUCUGUGUGCUGACUAUCAUGACAGUGAACACUUAAUAUACAGCUCUAUUAAAGUCAAGUAUUGUGUCUUGUGUCACAACACAUCAGUAUUCACAUUCACAUGCACUUUACAUGUUUGAUGUUAGACUAAACAGACUAAAACAAUUAUUCAUUUUUUCAUUUGUCACAUAAAUAACAGUUCAUUUUUUCUGAAGUUUAACUAAAUAAACUAGUUAAUGUGAUUGCAGUUUUUCUUCAUCUAAUAUGUAUUCAUGUUAAUCAUUUGACAGUUGGCCUCAUCAUUGUGCACAUGUUCUGAAAGACAGGGAAUGUGCAAUGUACUUUUAAUCCUGCAGAUAUUCGAUUAUGUAUUGUGUGAUGUAUACAUGAACAGAGAGAUGAAGAUUGUAGCUUGACAAUGCAAAAACCCUCUGUACUGUAUCUAGAUUAUAACUGCAUGUUAACAUACUGUGUGCUGAUGAAGCUGCUACAAUAGAAACAUAUGAACACAAUCAUGAAUUCUGUGGAGAUGUGCAGAGAAUAAUAUGAUAUAUACUGUACAUGUUUGUUAGGGUCUGAAUGAAGAAUUGUUUAUAUUUAAAAGAAAGAAAAACAAAGAUAAAUAAGUCUUUCAAUGAGGUUAUUUUCCUUAUGUCUAAUAAAAAUUAGCCUUACGUUGUUGAGUGCGCAAGACCCUGUUUCUUGUGGAGCUGUGCAGAGCAUUUUUUGUAACUUUGUUUGUGGCUCUGUUUCCGAAGAAACACAACACAGGCUAUUAUUUACACUCAAUCUGAGUUUGUCCAAAUUAAUUGCUUACAUUUACUAAAUGAGCCUACAAUAGCAGAAAUAAUCCUUUUUCAUUAAAGUUAAAGUCAAUAUUUAAUGAAAAUGAUAAUUCCUUAUAAUGAUAUGAAAAUGUUAUCAGAAUAAUUUUUUUAGGGACUGUUGUUUAAUUUAUUUUCAUACAUAUGUCCUCGUAUCUAAUUUUUUGUUCUGAUGUCACAUGUAAUAAUCUCAAGGUUUACUGGGUUUUUCCUGAUUCUUUGAUUCUUUUGUUUUGUGUGUUUGGUGAAGUGCACUAAAAACAUCAUUGUUACGCGUGUCCUCCAAACUGACCCACAUAUUAAUCAGUAAAGAAAGUUUAGUGUUCGGGACAGGGAUGAACUACGGUGCCUCUAAGGAGACAUGGUCGGUUCACUUAGUUCUGUCGUGGCCACAAGAUAUUAAUUUGAGGGAACUUCAUAUU